rnacentral:rRNA from 1 species
UACGUAGGGUGCAAGCGUUGUCCGGAAUUAUUGGGCGUAAAGAGCUCGUAGGCGGUGUGUCGCGUCUGCUGUGAAAACUCGGGGCUUAACCCCGGGCCUGCAGUGGGUACGGGCAGACUAGAGUGCGGUAGGGGAGAACGGAAUUCCCGGUGUAGCGGUGAAAUGCGCAGAUAUCGGGAGGAACACCGGUGGCGAAGGCGGUUCUCUGGGCCUGUACUGACGCUGAGGAGCGAAAGCGUGGGGAGCGAACAGG